GAAAAGUAAAUUCACUUGGCUGUCCCACAUCUCUAAGGAACCUGAUGCAUGAGUGGAGUAGAGAAGAGGAAGAGAGAAAAACUCCAGAGACCUACAGAUCAUCUGGCUGGCAGGGUCAAGUUUUCUUUGGAUUGAGGUGGAACUGUGGCUCAUGGACAUCUGAUGUGAUAGGAUGGUAACAAGCAACCUCCUACAGGCCUUGAUCACAUUAACAUCAAACAAUCAUACAGCUACUGGGGAAAAAGAAGGUGCAGCUGUGGGUGAGUAACGCAUUUCAUAUCUU
rnacentral:lncRNA from 1 species